AAAACAGUACGCACAGCCUAACG
rnacentral:snRNA from 1 species